AUUGAACGCUGGCGGCAUGCUUUACACAUGCAAGUCGAACGGCAGCACGGGUGCUUGCACCUGGUGGCGAGUGGCGAACGGGUGAGUAAUGCAUCGGAACGUGCCCAUGAGUGGGGGAUAGCCCGGCGAAAGCCGGAUUAAUACCGCAUACGCCCUUAGGGGGAAAGCGGGGGAUCUUCGGACCUCGCGCUAUUGGAGCGGCCGAUGUCGGAUUAGCUAGUAGGUGAGGUAAAGGCUCACCUAGGCGACGAUCCGUAGCUGGUCUGAGAGGAUGAUCAGCCACACUGGGACUGAGACACGGCCCAGACUCCUACGGGAGGCAGCAGUGGGGAAUUUCGGACAAUGGGCGCAAGCCUGAUCCAGCCAUGCCGCGUGAGUGAAGAAGGCCUC
rnacentral:rRNA from 1 species